GACAGAGGUCCCAAGCGUUAGGCGGAAUCAUUGGGCGUAAAGCGCACGUAGGCGGUCUGUUAUGUCGGAUGUGAAAGCCCUUGGCUUAACUGAGGAAGUGCAUCCGAAACUGGCAGGCUAGAGUACUAAAGAGGGUCGCGGAAUUCCCGGUGUAGAGGUGAAAUUCGUAGAUAUCAGGAGGAACACCGGUGGCGAAGGCGGCAUCCUGGACCAACACUGACGCUGAUGAGCGAAAGCCAGGGGAGCAAACGGG
rnacentral:rRNA from 1 species